rnacentral:rRNA from 1 species
UACGGAGGGUGCGAGCGUUGUCCGGAAUCAUUGGGCGUAAAGGGCGCGUAGGUGGCCCGGUCAGUCAGUGGUGAAAGCGCGGGGCUCAACCCCGCGUCGGCCAUUGAUACUGCUGGGCUUGAGCACUGUAGAGGCAGGCGGAAUUCCGGGUGUAGCGGUGGAAUGCGUAGAGAUCCGGAAGAACACCGGUGGCGAAGGCGGCCUGCUGGGCAGUAGCUGACACUGAGGCGCGACAGCGUGGGGAGCGAACGGGA